rnacentral:rRNA from 1 species
CCAUGGCGAACGGGUGAGUAACACGUUAGGUAACCGUGUCUUUAAGCCGAGGAUAACCAUUGGAAACGAUGGAUAAUACUGGAUAGGACAUUUGAAGGCAUCUUUAGAUGUUUAAAGAUUUAUCACUUAGAGAGGGGCCUGCGGCGCAUUAGCUAGUUGGUGAGGUGAAGGCUUACCAAGGCGAUGAUGCGUAGCCGGACUGAGAGGUUGAACGGCCACAAUGGAACUGAGAACGGUCCAUACUCCUACGGGAGGCAGCAGUAGGGAAUUUUCGGCAAUGGGCGGAAGCCUGAACCCGAGCAACGCCGCGUGAACGAAGAAGUAUUUCGGUAUGUAAAGUUCUUUUAUUAGGGACGAAAAGACAGAUUGACGGUACCUAAUGAAUAAGCUCCGGCUAACUACGUGCCAGCAGCGGC